CGCGCGGACCCUUGGGGACCUCGGGGAAGUGUUAGCGGAGCAACGUGUGUUUGCUGGGAUUGGCUGGCGCCUCGGCGUGAGGGGUCCCGAUUGGCCGCCGAGGAUGGACCGAUUCCGCGUGGGUCUGGGCUGGUCCGAGCCUGACUGAGUUCCCCGGGUGUGCGGGUUUGCCUGUGGGCUUGGAUUAGGGCCCGUGUGCCAUGGCCAAGUGAUUGUGAAAGGGAAGCCUGAGGAAAAUGAGUUUGCCAGAGGAGGUGGGGUCUCCAAAGCCUGACUGCUCACCCAAGCAAGAAGCUGGCCAAGGUCGUGCCCUUUAAGAAGCCUGCCUGACCAAUUCAUACAUUCUAAAUGACAUACAAGGAACAGCCAACUGAGAACAGCUGGGAAAGGAGGAGCUAUCAGUGUGAGGAAACAGAGGACUGUUUCAGUCAUGUUAAAAGGAGCAGAAAAAGAAGCACAGAGAAGCUCAGUACUGAAGACCCUCUUAGGAUAAGGCAACUUGGCUUUAAUCGUUCAGAAACUGAACAAGCAGGUGGAGUUGCCA
rnacentral:lncRNA from 1 species